rnacentral:rRNA from 1 species
UACGUAGGUGGCAAGCGUUGUCCGGAAUUAUUGGGCGUAAAGCGCGCGCAGGUGGUUUCUUAAGUCUGAUGUGAAAGCCCACGGCUCAACCGUGGAGGGUCAUUGGAAACUGGGAAACUUGAGUGCAGAAGAGGAUAGUGGAAUUCCAAGCGUAGCGGUGAAAUGCGUAGAGAUUUGGAGGAACACCAGUGGCGAAGGCGACUAUCUGUCUGUAACUGACACUGAGGCGCGAAAGCGUGGGGAGCAAACAGG